UACAGAGGGGGCAAGCGUUGUUCGGAAUUACUGGGCGUAAAGGCGCGUAGGCGGCCCGCUAAGUCGAACGUGAAAUCCCCGGGCUCAACCCGGGAACUGCGUCCGAUACUGGUGGGCUUGAAUCGGGAGAGGGAUGCGGAAUUCCAGGUGUAGCGGUGAAAUGCGUAGAUAUCUGGAGGAACACCGGUGGCGAAGGCGGCAUCCUGGACCGGCAUUGACGCUGAGGCGCGAAAGCCAGGGGAGCAA
rnacentral:rRNA from 1 species